rnacentral:rRNA from 1 species
GAUGAACGCUAGCGGCAGGCCUAACACAUGCAAGUCGAGGGAGAAGCCCUUCGGGGCAGAAACCGGCGCACGGGUGCGUAACGCGUAUGCAACCUACCUUUCACAGGGGGAUAGCCCGAAGAAAUUUGGAUUAAUACCCCAUAAUAUUAUUGGAUGGCAUCAUUUGAUAAUUAAAAUUACGAUGGUGAAAGAUGGGCAUGCGUCCUAUUAGCUAGUUGGAGUGGUAACGGCACCCCAAGGCUACGAUAGGUAGGGGUCCUGAGAGGGAGAUCCCCCACACUGGUACUGAGACAGGGACCAGACUCCUACGGGAGGCAGCAGUGAGGAAUAUUGGUCAAUGGUCGGAAGACUGAACCAGCCAUGCCGCGUGCAGGAAGAAUGCCUUAUGGGUUGUAAACUGCUUUUAUAUGGGAAGAAUAAGGAGUACGCGUACUUNGANGACGGUNCCA